CGAACGCUGGCGGCGUGCUAACGCAUGCAAGUCGAGCGGGGAUGGUAGCUGAAGGUGAUGAGCUGGAAGCUAUCAUCUUAGCGGCGGACGGGUGAGUAACACGUGAGCAACUACCCUCAGCACGGGGAUAACAGCUCGAAAGGGCUGCUAAUACCCGAUGGGACCACGUCAUCGCAUGGUGAUGUGGUGAAAGGGUGGACGUAAGGUCCAUACCGGCUGGGGAUGGGCUCGCGGCCCAUCAGCUAGUUGGUGGGGUAACGGCCUACCAAGGCGACGACGGGUAGCCGGCCUGAGAGGGUGACCGGCCACAGUGGGACUGAGACACGGCCCACACUCCUACGGGAGGCAGCAGCGGGGAAUCUUGCGCAAUGGGCGAAAGCCUGACGCAGCGACGCCGCGUGAGGGAAGGAGCCCUUCGGGGUGUAAACCUCUUUGGACGGGGAGAAGUAGGAGAUAGUACCCGUUUAAAAAGCCACGGCUAACUACGUGCCAGCAGCCGCGGUAAUACGUAGGUGGCGAGCGUUGUCCGGAAUUACUGGGCGUAAAGGGAGCGUAGGCGGCCUGGUAAGUUGAGCGUGAAAUUUUUGGGCUCAACCCAAAAGGAGCGUUCAAGACUGCCAGGCUUGAGUGCGGGAGAGGACGGCGGAAUUCCCGGUGUAGCGGUGAAAUGCGU
rnacentral:rRNA from 1 species